rnacentral:rRNA from 1 species
AAGACGAACCGUGCGAACGUUGUUCGGAAUCACUGGGCUUAAAGGGCGCGUAGGCGGCUUGCCAAGUCAGGGGUGAAAUCCAGCAGCUUAACUGUUGAAGUGCCUUUGAUACUGGCGAGCUCGAGGGAGGUAGGGGUAUGCGGAACUUCUGGUGGAGCGGUGAAAUGCGUUGAUAUCAGAAGGAACGCCGGUGGCGAAAGCGACGUACUGGACCUCUUCUGACGCUGAGGCGCGAAAGCUAGGGGAGCAAACGG